GGAGUAUGACUUAGUGGUAGAACAUCUAGUCUGCACGCAGAAGGUCCCAGAUUCAAUCCCUGGCAGAUCCA
rnacentral:tRNA from 1 species